GAGGUUUAACGGCCGCGUAAGCGUUAAGGUAGCAUAAUAAUUUGUCUUUUCAUUGGAGGAUAGUAUGAAUGGAUGAACGAAGCUUAGCUGUCUCUAUUAAUUAAAUAAAAAUUGAUUUUUAGGUGAAAAAGCCUAAAUUUAAAGAAAGGACGGAAAGACCCUGUAGAGUUUAAAUUUAUUAACAAGUUUUACUUAUUAAGAGUUUUUAUUGGGGCAAUAUUAGAACAACAAAAUUCUAAAAAUUUAAAUUUACAAUAGUAAAUAUUAAACCUCUAAGAGAAUCAAGAAAAACUACCUCAGGGAUAACAGCGUUAUCCUACCAGAGAGAUCUAAUCGAAGGUAGAGAUUGCGACCUCGAUGUUGGACUAAGAGUGCUACAAAAUGUAGGUGUUUUGUAAAGCAAGCCUGUUCGGCUUUUAAUCUCUUACGUGAUCUGAGU
rnacentral:rRNA from 1 species